UACGUAGGGGCCUAGCGUUGUCCGGAUUUAUUGGGCGUAAAGAGCUCGUAGGCGGUUCGGUAAGUCAGGGGUGAAAUCUCCACGCUCAACGUGGAGGCGCCACCUGAAACUGCCGUGACUCGAGUCCGGUAGGGGAGUGUGGAAUUCCCGGUGUAGCGGUGAAAUGCGCAGAUAUCAGGAAGAACACCCGUGGCGAAGGCGGCUCUCUGGGACGGUACUGACGCUGAGACGCGAAAGCGUGGGGAGCGAACAGG
rnacentral:rRNA from 1 species